AGCGGAAUAGUUUAGCGGUUAUAACAGUGGAAUCAUAAUUCACAUGUCAUAGGUUCAAAUCCUAUUUUCGCUA
rnacentral:tRNA from 1 species